rnacentral:rRNA from 1 species
AUUGAACGCUGGCGGCAUGCUUUACACAUGCAAGUCGAACGGCAGCACGGACUUCGGUCUGGUGGCGAGUGGCGAACGGGUGAGUAAUACAUCGGAACGUACCCAGUAAUGGGGGAUAACUAUCCGAAAGGAUAGCUAAUACCGCAUACGCCCUACGGGGGAAAGAGGGGGAUCGCAAGACCUCUUGUUAUUGGAGCGGCCGAUGGCUGAUUAGCUAGUUGGUAGGGUAAAGGCCUACCAAUGCAACGAUCAGUAGCGGGUCUUAGUGGACGGUCCGCCACACUGGAACUGAGACACGGUCCAGACUCCUACGGGAGGCAGCAGUGGGGAAUCUUGGCCAAUGGGCGCAAGCCUGAUACAGCAAUGCCGCGUGCGUGAAGAAGGCCUUCGGGUUGUAAAGCGCUUUUGUCAGGGAGCAAAUCCUUGUGGCUAAUACCCACCGGGGAUGAGAGUACCUGAAGAAUAAGGACCGGCUAACUACGUGCCAGCCGCCGCAGUAAGAC